rnacentral:lncRNA from 1 species
UGCUUGCAAUAUGAUUUGAUUACCUUCAGUUGUGAUUUCAUAAGUUGUGAAUUCAUUUGUUUAACUGCUUGAUUAAUAACUUAUUCGUGUAUGUUUAUUAAGAGUGCACACUUAGUUUGCAUGCAUGAAUAUGAUGCUAGAGUAUAAGGGAGUUUCACCUAAUAGUUAUAAACUUAUGUUCACAAGUAGUGGAGGUCGCUUAUAAACGAUCGCAUUAAAUAAAUUCUUGGCAGGAGUUUUGAUGCGAAAUAUUAUAAGCACACAAAUUAAACCCUCUUUUUGACAAUUGUAGUAUAGAUGUAAGUAGGGUAUCGUUCUAAACCGGGGAUUAGGAGGGCUUGCUAAAACCUCUAAACUGACUCAAAAACAAAAAGAAACAAAGUUAAAAAUGUAAACCAAAGACUUUUAAAACAAGAAAGUAAAAGGGGGAUUUGGGUUUGGUGAAGUUGAAAGUAAAACAAAUAAACUAAAACUUAAAUAGAUUUUUAAGUAGGCAGAUUAUAAAACGAAUUUGAGAAAUAAGAUGAUGGUUGGAUUAGUUAGAGGUCCGUUCUUCACACAUGACACACUUGUACAUGAAUCGAUUUCCAAUUGCUUUUCAAUAAACUAUGAUGCUCAACACCCUAGAUUGACCGUGAUGCACAAAUUAACCCUCAGAUUUUCCUUUACUUAUUGAAUUGGAUGAAUGUAUGCGACAAUCCAAAUUAUUCUCUAAAAGUCCCCUAUAUGAAUGCAUAAUAGAGA